UACGAAGGGGGCUAGCGUUGCUCGGAAUCACUGGGUGUAAAGCGCACGUAGGCGGAUUGUUAAGUCAGGGGUGAAAUCCUGGAGCUCAACUCCAGAACUGCCUUUGAUACUGUCGAUCUUGAGUCCGGGAGAGGUGAGUGGAACUGCGAGUGUAGAGGUGAAAUUCGUAGAUAUUCGCAAGAACACCAGUGGCGAAGGCGGCUCACUGGCCCGGUACUGACGCUGAGGUGCGAAAGCGUGGGGAGCAAACAGG
rnacentral:rRNA from 1 species